CCCUUGUAGCAACUAGCACAACUGGUUGCUCAAUAGUGCUGCAAUCAGUAUGCGUUCCUGAAUAAUUUAGGAGGAGAGUAGUCCACCUCACCAAAAACCACUUACCCAGACUGUGAAAGAGCUCAGUCAUUUCUCCUCAUACUCUCUGAAAGAUGAGCCCAAGGGCAAUUAUAGGACCACAAAGGAGUUUGCAGCGGGUGGGCAGUGUGUAUCUACGCUCGAAUAAUCUGCCCUAGAGUGGAUUGUUGGUAGUCAUUUUAAAGUUGUUUGUCAAGUUGGUUACUCAAGAGCAUGUCCCCAGGGACAACUUUGUCACUGAACAAGGCACACACAAAAGCUCUGGGGUAGGGCUUCCACCUCAGGGAAACAUAGAGCUGUUCUCAACCUCUGAGCAGAGGGAAUCAGGCCAGCAGAAAAGCGUGAGUGGAAAGCCAGUUUGGCUAUUAAGGGAACCUGUCGACACAGAGCAGAGCAAGAUAAGGCCAGGUUUCAGAAAGAAUAGCUGUUUACCAUCAAAGCAACUGGGUUCCACACAGACAUGGUAUAUUAUACACAAAGACGAAGAGAAAGAAUGUCUAUCAGAGUGUGGCAGGAUGCAUCCUGCCAGGAUUCUUCUGUUUUCUACAGAAACUGACCAUUUAAAAAAGUCUUUCUAUGAUUGGUGCCACAAUAAAGGUCUCGUACCGGAUUCUGCAACAAAAUGUAAAUUAAUGGAAUGUGAAAAAUGGAAGGACUGCAAGGGAAAGGAUCAAAAGGUGAGAAGGGAAAGGGAGAUUAUUAGAAAAAAAAAAAGUUUAAUAAACACGUAGCAUUCCAAGAAUUUGCCAUGGAAAGAAGCAAUCUCUUUUUAGAUUUCAGGUAAAAAAAAAAAUUACGUAAAUUAUUAUGUAAAGACUUUAAGCAUUUUCCAAACCAUGCCAAGGAAAGAGAAAAAAAAUUACUUCUUAGUCUCCAGCUACUUUUACAUAAUUUAUCUCACUUAAUUGUCAUAAUUAUCCUAUAAAGUGAGCAUUUCUAUUGUUUUUUCAUAUACUACCCAUGCCAGGGUACCUAUGUAUUAGACUCCCAGGUAAUCAGUUCUGUGGACUAAUGCCUCUGCUGGCACAGUCUCUGUAUCCUGUAGCCCUUGCAGAAAUGUUGGAAAUACAUGGCAGGAAGGGCCUGCUGCCUUCCUUGCCCAAACCCUUCCAACAAAGUCAUCAAACAAUAAAUGUAACUGAAGAUGCAUUUUAACCACUGAACUCAAAUUCUCUACACUGCCAAAGUAAAAGCUACUGUUUGUUGACACAUUUACCAUAUGCCGGGAACUAUGCUAAAUCCUUCAUAUGUAUUACGUAAUUCAGUCCUUCCAGCAGCCUGCAAUGUAGGUGCUAUAGUUUUUUUUUCAUUUUCAGAAAUUGAAAUUAAAGAGGUUAUUAGUCACCUGGUAUCACAAACCAAUAAAUGGUAAAAUAUGGCAUUUUUAAUUCCAGAGCUUGAAUUCCUAACUGCCUCAUUCAAAACCCAGUUCUGUUGCAUGUCCUUGAUUUCACUCACAGCCACAGAAGAAAUGGGGCAUGCCCCCUGUUCUGUUUCUCCUAUAACCUCAUCCCAGAACCCGGAGGUCUUUCUCUUCCCAUCGCUGCCCUGUCACUAGCAGGUAUGCUGUGUCAAACAUCCCAGAGAGAUAUUUCUUGAGAUAUAUAGCAUUUCUGCUUAGGUGAUAGGUGAUGGCCACACCGUUACUUGCUGAUCACAGAAGGGCUUAAAACAGGGACAUUAAAUAUUGGAGGAAAUCAUGGAUCACAGAAGUUCACUAACUUGCCUGUCACAUGAGUGUACUAGGAUUGGGAGCUAAUUAGUCACCCUGAUCUGGAUUUGAGACAGGGUAGGAUUGAGAUUUGUGACUUAUAACAUUGAUCAAUUCUUCAGCCUCUUUCCAUUGUACUGAAGGACUGGGCUAUUUGGCUCAGUAUAUUUUGGAUCUGCUACCGUGUUUUCAGUCAUGAGAACCUAUUCUAUGAGGUGAGAGUCCUGCCCAUUAUCUUUUGAGCAGGCCACGUGUCUAACAUAGCUGUGUUGGCCAUACAGGCAAUUUGGAUAACAUCUAUUCUGCCAGCACACUGACAAACUUCCGUGUUAGGGAGGUCACAAAGCAAACUGUUGCACAUUUGUCACUAGACUGUUCUUUGUGUGUAGUUCUCACUUAAUCCUACAGCUGACAACAAGGAGAGCAUCAUGUGUCUAUAGGACAGCCGCUUCCUAGCAUUUGUAUUACAAUUCAAUUUCUCAUGGCAGUGUUUUUGGUUUGUUUUCAAGAUUCCUCCCUCUUCUUUCCACAAGUGAACACCUCUCCUAUUCUAGGAGCUGGGAAUUCAGUAGUGAAUGAGACAGGCAAGGUCCCUGCUGUCAUGGAGUCUGCAUCCUAGUGUAGGUAAUAAGACAAUGAACAAAGUAAUUUUCAAAGCAAACAAAAUAAGGGGUGCUCUGGAGAGCACGUGGAGAUCUGUUGUAGAGGGUUGGUUGAGGAGGGUUUCUCUAAGAGUCAAUGCUCGGCUGAAACUGGAAUGACCAGAUGGAGUCAGCCAGGAGAACACCUGGCAGUGCAUUCCAGGGAGGGAAGACCAAACGCAAUGUCCUAAGAGGCGAAAAGCCUGGCAGGUUCCUGGAAUAGAAAGAAGGUAUGUGGGCCCAAUGUAUAUGGUGGAGCGAGGUAGGAAAUGAGCUCAGAGAGGUUGUCAACACACAGACUGUAUUCAACAUUGGAGGCCCUUAAAGAGUUUGGACGUUGUCCUCAGUAUAGUCAUGGGGUGCAUAGCGAUGUUUUGGCCUAUGACAGACUUCACACGCAGCACUGGUCCCACAAGAUUAUAAUGGAGCUGAAAAUUCCUGUCACUGGGAUUGUCUUUAUGAUCUUGACCCUGUGUUUCCCUAGGCCAAUGUGUGUGUUUGUGUCUUAGUUUUUAACAAAAAAGUUUAAAAAGUAAAAAAAAAAAAAAAAAAAGUUUUUAAAAAUAGAAAAAACUUACAGAAUAAGGAAAUAAAGACAACAUUUUGUACAGCUGUACAAUCUGUUUGUGUUUUAAGCUAAGUGUAACAAGAGUCAAAAAGCUUAAAAAUAUUAAAAUUCAUAAAGCAAAAAAGUUGUAGUAAGCUAAGGUUAAUUUAUUAUUAUUAAUUUUUUUUUUUUGAGAUGGAGUGUCACUC
rnacentral:lncRNA from 1 species